UUUCCCACUAGUGGGCAGAAUUACCCCUUGAGUUUGUGGCUUCUUCUUUAGUUAUUUUGUGUGCACUACACUGCCCCCUUUGGUGAUGUGUUGUAAGCAGCAGGAAAAGUUCACGCAGGCAGUGUGAGAAAAUGCCUGGAGCAGAAAACAAGCUGCACAACUUUAAGCCCAGUUUACAUCGCUGGGGAGUUUGUUGAACCAUAAUCUCUGGAUUUAUCAGUUCUGCAGGACGAGCCACAGGAGAGCUCAGGAAUGUGAACCCUGUCACAGGUCUCUAUUCAUCAUCUACCUGAAAUUGAGUGCCAUCAUAUGUUUCUGCUUCACACUGCUGUGACAGGCCGGCC